UGCUUUGUCUCGUCGCUGGAAACAACGUAAGCAUGUUCAGCAAGUCAGUCUUUUCAUUAUUGAUGAAUUGCACCUAAUUGGGGGUCAAGGUGGCCCAAUCCUGGAGGUGAUAGUCUCUCGGAUGAGAUAUAUCUCAAGCCAGGUUGAGAACAAGAUCCGCAUCGUUGCUUUGUCUACUUCCUUAGCUAAUGCCAAGGAUUUGGGAGAAUGGAUUGGGGCUACAUCUCAUGGGCUCUUCAACUUUCCUCCUGGUGUAAGGCCUGUGCCACUUGAAAUACACAUUCAAGGUGUUGAUAUUGCUAACUUUGAAGCUAGGAUGCAAGCCAUGACAAAACCCACAUAUACUGCAAUAGUCCAACAUGCAAGGAAGGGAAAACCUGCACUUGUGUAUGUUCCCACUAGGAAGCAUGCUCGCUUGACUGCUGUAGAUCUGAUGACUUAUUCAAGCAUGGACAGUGAAGACACACCCAUAUUUCUGCUACGAUCUGCAGAAGAGCUGGAACCUUUCGUGGAAAGGAUCAAUGAACCUAUGCUGCAAGAGACACUCAAGUAUGGUGUGGGAUACUUGCAUGAGGGGUUGAGUGCCACUGAUCAGGAUAUAGUGAAGACAUUGUUUGAAACUGGAUGGAUUCAAGUGUGUGUGAUGAAUGGCACAAUGUGUUGGGGAGUACCAUUAUCUGCACAUUUGGUGGUGGUCAUGGGGACACAGUAUUAUGAUGGUAGAGAAAAUGCACACACUGAUUAUCCCGUUACUGAUUUGUUGCAGAUGAUGGGCCAUGCCAGUCGACCUCUUGUAGAUAGCUCAGGGAAGUGUGUUAUCCUCUGCCAUGCACCACGCAAGGAUUACUACAAGAAGUUCUUGUAUGAAGCAUUCCCAGUUGAAAGCCAUCUGCAACAUUAUCUCCAUGAUAAUUUGAAUGCUGAGGUGGUGGUUGGCGUUAUUCAGAACAAGCAGGAUGCUGUUGAUUACCUAACAUGGACCUUCAUGUAUAGGAGGCUGACACAGAAUCCAAAUUACUACAAUCUGCAGGGUGUUAGUCAUAGGCAUCUGUCUGACCAACUGUCGGAGCUAGUGGAGAAUACCAUCAGUGACUUGGAGGCUAGUAAAUGUGUCACUGUUGAGGAUGAAUUUUUGCUUUCACCUUUGAAUCUCGGUAUGAUAGCGUCAUAUUAUUAUAUCAGUUACACCACAAUAGAGCGAUUUAGCUCUUCUGUGACCUCCAAGACAAAGUUGAAGGGCUUGCUGGAAAUAUUGGCGUCAGCGUCGGAGUUUGAACAGCUUCCAAUACGACCAGGUGAAGAGGAAUUGAUAAGAAGGUUGAUUAAUCAUCUGCGUUUCUCUUUUGAGAACCCGAAAUACACAGAUCCUCAUGUCAAGGCUAAUGCUCUUUUACAAGCCCAUUUCUCUAGGCAAAUGGUGGGCGGAAAUCUUGCUUCUGACCAGCAAGAGGUGUUGCUUUCCGCUACUAGGCUGCUUCAAGCAAUGGUUGAUGUUAUUUCCAGUAAUGGUUGGCUUAGUCUAGCACUUCUAACAAUGGAGGUGAGCCAGAUGGUGACACAGGGAAUGUGGGAACGUGACUCGAUGCUUCUCCAGCUUCCACACUUCACAAAAGAAUUGGCUAAGAAGUGCCAAGAAAAUCCAGGGAGGAGCAUAGAGACAGUGUUUGAUUUGGUGGAGAUGGAAGAUAAUGAGAGGCGUGAGCUCUUGCAGAUGUCAGACUUGCAGCUUCUGGAUAUUGCCCGGUUCUGUAACCGGUUUCCAAACAUUGAUUUGACGUAUCAUGUGGUGGACAGUGAUAACGUGAGUGCUGGAGACGAUGUAAGUGUGCAGGUAACCCUUGAGCGAGAUCUUGAGGGUAGAACAGAAGUUGGACCUGUUUUUGCACCUAGAUAUCCCAAAACCAAAGAGGAAGGAUGGUGGCUUGUUGUCGGGGAUACAAAGAGCAACCAAUUACUGGCCAUUAAGAGAGUCACUCUCCAAAGGAAAUCUAAGGUCAAGCUGGAUUUUGCUGCCCCUGCUGAAGCUGGAAUGAGGAACUACACACUCUAUUUCAUGUGCGAUUCUUAUCUGGGUUGUGACCAGGAAUACAACUUUACUCUUGAUGUUAAAGAGGCAAUGGCUGAAGAUGACAGUUGAAGAGAAUGAUGUAGGUUAUUUCUUUUUCUGAGAACUUUUCCCAAGUGCUUUAUCUAUUUUUGUAGACAAUCUAGUGGUGAUUAGUUAUGCAGCUUUCAGUUGGUACUGGAUCCUUCAGUUUUAAUGCUGCACCUGCUUUAUAGCUUUUAGGAGGACUUGUUCAGUAUGAAUUCAAAAUGGAAGUACUUGCUAAACUUUUG
rnacentral:misc_RNA from 1 species